GUAGAUGUUGACAGCGGGGGACCUGAAUGAGGCAGCAGUAGCCAGACUAUUGGGAAUUAGGACCCAGCAGCGGGAAGCAAUAUAUCUGCAGGAGUAAUCACCACAGGAAGGAGCCAAAGGGGGCCCCUAUUUGGUAUUGGUGGACAUCACUACAUACCAGCCUGGACAGGAGAAAAUGGUGCUUGUUUGACCCCAAUCUACGAUGCAUGAUCUUUGUUGUCUACAUGCAGAACCUCAGGUUGUGCACCCCUGCUCUAUGUUUUAUUUCAGAACUUGGAUGCCCACCAAAGGAGCCGCUGGUGCCCUGGUAGGACGGUUGGACUCUGGUCAUCAUCUAGAGAUUUCUAAUGUGUAUAAUAUUAUAGCAAUUAUCACAACUUUUCUACAUCACCCCAACUGAGAAAUUGGGUCAAAAAACGAUAUGUACUCAGCAGUCAAAGUAAUUAUGAUAAUGAGUUUAUUCUUCAUUGAUUGAUUUCCACAAUGCUCCACCACAAGGAUCAUUUUGAGGAACUUGAGUGUUUUGGUCAAUCAUUUUGGCAUUUAAGUUCCAGCUCUUUAACCUUCACCAAUCAUAUCUCCUAAUGUCUCCAUGUUAUUUCAGAAAAUAAAGGAGGA